rnacentral:rRNA from 1 species
UACGUAGGUGGCAAGCGUUGUCCGGAGUUAUUGGGCGUAAAGCGCGCGCAGGCGGUGCGGUAAGUCUCUGGUGAAAGCGCUCGGCUUAACUGGGCGAGGGCCGGGGAGACUGCCACGCUGGAGGGGAGCAGAGGCGAGUGGAAUUCCGGGUGUAGUGGUGAAAUGCGUAGAGAUCCGGAGGAACACCAGUGGCGAAGGCGGCUCGCUGGGCUCAACCUGACGCUGAGGCGCGAAAGCGUGGGGAGCGAACCGG